GACGAACGCUGGCGGCGUGCUUAACACAUGCCAGUCGAACGGAAAGGCCCUGCUUUUGUGGGGUGCUCGAGUGGCGAACGGGUGAGUAACACGUGAGUAACCUGCCCUUGACUUUGGGAUAACUUCAGGAAACUGGGGCUAAUACCGGAUAGGAUCUCCUGCUGCAUGGUGGGGGUUGGAAAGUUUAGGCGGUUGGGGAUGGACUCGCGGCUGAUCAGCUUGUUGGUGGGGUAGUGGCUUACCAAGGCUUUGACGGGUAGCCGGCCUGAGUGGGUGACCGGCCACAUUGGGACUGCGAUAGGGCGCAGAGUCCUACGGGAGGCAGCAGUGGGAAAUCUUGCCCAAUGGGCGGGAGCCUGAUGCAGCAACGCCGGGUGCGGGAUGACGGCCUUCGGGUUGUAAACCGCUUUAGCCUGUGACGAAGCGUGAGUGACGGUAAUGGGUAAAGAAGCACCGGCUAACUACGUG
rnacentral:rRNA from 1 species